rnacentral:rRNA from 1 species
CCUACGGGUGGCAGCAGUGGGGGAUAUUGCACAAUGGGGGGAACCCUGAUGCAGCGACGCCGCGUGUGGGAAGACGGUCUUCUGGAUUGUAAACCACUGUCCUCAGGGACGAAAAUGACGGUACCUGGGGAGGAAGCUCCGGCUAACUACGUGCCAGCAGCCGCGGUAAUACGUAGGGAGCAAGCGUUGUCCGGAAUUACUGGGUGUAAAGGGAGCGUAGGCGGGGAUGCAAGUUGGGUGUAAAAACUAACGGCUCAACCGAUAGUCGCAGUGAAAACUGCAACUCUUGAGUGAAGUCGAGGCAGGCGGAAUUCCUAGUGUAGCGGUGAAAUGCGUAGAUAUUAGGAGGAACACCAGUGGCGAAGGCGGUCUGCCGGGGUUUGACUGACGCUGAGGCUCGAAAGUGUGGGGAGCAAACAGGAUUAGAUACCCGAGUAGUC